ACAGUCUCAUCUUCUUUGCCUUCGGAACACAAUGUAGAACUCUCAGCUCCAAUAGUUCCAUGCCUACCUGGAUUCUGCUAUGCUCCCCACCAUGAUGAUAAUGGACUGAACCUCUGAACCUAAAGGUAGGCAGAAUAACAGAAGGCGUGGACUGGAAGAACAGAUUGAGAAGUCAAAACACCACACCAUCUGUGGUGUAAGGUCAGGCUUCCCAGCUACCUCGUGCCUUGCAGUGAAUGCUCGCUCUUAUAUGGACCCAUCAGUAAGCUGUGUCACCUUUCAUCCCACGGAGGUGACUAAGCCACAGGCUUGCUAGGCUGUGGAGGUGGACCUGUCCUUUGAAUUCCUCUGAGGAUUUCCUGCAAGUUGAAGGAUCAUGAGGCCCUGGCAGAGCCAGUCCUUGCAGAUGGCAGUGAUUCCAGUGACUUCUUAGAAUCAAUAAUGCACAGGGAUUUCUAUGGUUGUAUCUGGUUACACUAUAUGGAUGUAUGUGGAUACUAUACAGUAGGAUCUGGAGACACCAUCCACAGCAAGCAUAAUGGAUUCAAGUCAUUAUGGUGCAGAGCCUCUGUGGACAAAACCAGACCACUUACACAUCUUCAUCCUCAGGAGAUGCUUUCCAGUUUCAUGAGGUUCCAUUAAUCAAAUCUUAAUCCCUUAAAGAAAUACAGGAAAAUAGAAUUAAGCAAGUGAGUGAAUUGAACAAAAUGGUCCAAGACCUAAAAAUGGAAAUAGAAACAAUAAAGAAAACACAAACGGACACAAUCCUGGUGACGGGCAACUAGGAACAAGAUCAAGCAUCACCAAAAGAGAGAAUCUCAGGUAUAAAAGAUACCAUAGAAGAUUUUGACACACUUGUCAAAGAAAAUACAAAGUAUAAAAAGCUCCUAACCAAAAAUAUCCAAGAAAUUGAGGACAUAAUGAAAAGAUCAAACCUAAGAGUAAUAGGAAUAGAAGAGGGUGAAGAUUCCCAGCUCAACAGGCCAGAAACCAUGUUCAACAAAAUCACAAAAGAAAACUUCCUUAACCUAAAGAAAGAGAUGGCCAUAAAUGUACAAGAAGCUGACAGAACACUAAAUAGAUAGAACCAGAAAUGAAAAUUCUCUUGUCACAUAAUAAUCAAAACACUAAAGCACAGAACCAAGAAAGAAUAUUAAAAGCUGUAAGGGGAAAAGGCCAAAUAACAUAUAAAGGCAGACCUACCAGAAUUAUACCACAAUUCUCAACAGAGACUCCAAAAGCCAGAAGACCCUGGACAGAGGUCAUGCAGACCCUAAGAGAAAACAAAUGCCAGCCCAGGCUACUAUACCCAGCAAAACUCUCAAUCAUCAUAGAUGGAGAAACAAAGAUAUUCCAUGACAAAACCAAAUGGAAAAAAAAUAUAUACAUUGUAUAUACAUACAUAUAUACCAAUCUAGCCAAACAGAGGAUACUGGAAGGAAAACUCCAACACGAGGGUAACUACACCCAAGAAAACAGGAGAAAUUAAACAUCUUACAACGAACUCAAAAGAAGAGAAUUGCAUACACAUUAUAUCACCUCCAGCAACAAAAAUAACAGGAAUAAACAAUCAUCUGUCUUUGAUAUCUCCCAGCAUUAAUGGACUCAAUUUCUCAAUAAAUGGCACAGGCUAACAGACUGAAUAUGUAAACAGGAUCCAGCAUUUCGCAGCAUACAAAAAACACACCUCAAUGACAAAGACAGGUACUACCUCAGAGUAAAGGGUUGGAAAAAAGUUUUCCAAGCAAACGGUCCCAAGAAAUAAGUGGGAGUUGUCAUUCUAAUGUCCCAUAAAGUAGACUUUCAACCAAAAGCUAUCAAAUGAGAUGUACAUAGGGUAAUUCAUAUUCAUCAAAGGAAAAAUCCAUCUGGAGGAAGUCUCAAUUCUGAACAUCUAUGCCCCAAAUGCAAGAGUACCCACAUUCAUAAAAGAAACGUUACUAAAGCUCAAAGCACACAUUGCACCUCACAUCAUAAUAGUGGGAGGCUUCAACACCCCACUCUUACCAUGGACAGUUCACUGAAACAGAAACUAAACAGAGACACAGUGAAACUAACAGAAGUUGUCAACCAAGUAAAUUUAACUUCACUUAACAUCGGUUGCUUGCUGUUAUUGUUGGUGUUUUGUUUUGUUUUGUUUUGUUUUAUUCAACUGCUAAAAAUCCAGAUUCCUGAAGAACUGGAAGCAUAUAUUUUCUUUUCUUUCAUUUCAUUUCAGUUUGGUUCACUUUGGUUUCUCAUAACUUCUUAGAAUCUUGCUGGCUCCAAGUAGGACAAUACUCAAAACUAUCUCAUUGUAUUGAAAGCUCUAAAGAGACUGUCUAUGGACAUCCAACUAUUGCCCUUAGAACCCAAAAACACAAUGGACACAUGUUAUCACUCUUUCCUGGUACCGUAAACAACUGACAACCAAGAAAUCAGUAUAUAACAGAAACAAAAAUGCUUUUGUCAAGAACAAUGACAUCUAUUAAAAAUAAAACUUAUUCUCUCUUCUGCUCUUCCCCUCUCUCUCUCUCUCUCUCUCUCUCUCUCUCUCUCUUUCUCUCUCUCCCUCCCUCUCUCCCUCUCUUCCUCUCCUGGCUUGACACGAUAAAAUAAAUAAAUAAAUAAAACUUAGCAUUGCUA